GGUCAAGCUAGAAAGGGCUAACGGUGGAUACCUAGGUACACAGAGGCGAAGAAGGACGUGGUGACCGACGAUACGCUCCGGGGAGUUGGAAGCAAGCAUUGAGCCGGAGGUUUCCGAAUGGGGCAACCCCAAGUACGAUCUACUGAACACAUAGGUAGAAACGAGCCAACCCAGUGAACUGAAACAUCUUAGUAGCUGGAGGAAAAGAAAGCAAAAGCGAUUCCCUUAGUAGCGGCGAGCGAAGAGGGAGAAGCCUAAACCAGCGGACAUGUCUGCUGGGGUAGUGGGACAGCCACAACGGGAAGGCAGAAGCUAGACGAAGCAGCUGAAUACUGCACCAGAGAAGGUGAAAGUCCUGUAGUCGAAAGCUCAAGCAACCAGGCUGAAUCCCGAGUAGCACGGAGCCCGUGGAAUUCCGUGUGAAUCAGCCGAGACCACUCGGUAAGGCUAAAUACUACUGUGUAACCGAUAGCGAAACAGUACCGCGAGGGAAAGGUGAAAAGAACCCCGGCGAGGGGAGUGAAAUAGAACAUGAAACCGUUAGCCUACAAGCAAUGGGAGGACGAUUGAACGUCUGACCGUGUGCCUGUUGAAGAAUGAGCCGGCGACUUACAGGCUGUGGCUGGUUAAGGGGGAAAACCCGAAGCCAAAGUGAAAGCGAGUCUGACAAGGGCGUUUUUAGUCACAGUUUGUAGACCCGAACCCGGGUGAUCUAACCAUGUCCAGGAUGAAGCUUGGGUAAUACCAAGUGGAGGUCCGAACCGACCGACGUUGAAAAGUCGGCGGAUGAGGUGUGGUUAGGGGUGAAAUGCCAAUCGAACUCGGAGCUAGCUGGUUCUCCCCGAAAUGCGUUGAGGCGCAGCGGUUGAAAAAUACUCCGAAGGGGUAAAGCACUGUUUCGCUGCGGGCUGCGAGAGCGGUACCAAAGUGAGGCAAACUCAGAAUACUUCGGAGUCGACAACCAGUAAGACGGUGGGGGAUAAGCUUCAUCGUCAAGAGGGAAACAGCCCAGACCACCAGCUAAGGUCCCCAAAUGGACGCUAAGUGAGAAAGGAGGUGGGAGUGCAUAGACAACCAGGAGGUUUGCCUAGAAGCAGCAAUCCUUAAAAGAGUGCGUAAUAGCUCACUGGUCAAGCGCUCCUGCGCCGAAAAUGAACGGGGCUAAGCGUUCUACCGAAGCUGUGGACUUGCAAUGCAAGUGGUAGGGGAGCGUUCUGUGUAGGGUGAAGCACUAGCGGCAAGCAGGUGUGGACGGCACAGAAGUGAGAAUGUCGGCUUAAGUAGCGAAAAUUAGGGUGAGAAUCCCUAACCCCGAAAGCCCAAGGGUUUCUCCGGAAGGCUCGUCCGCGGAGAGUUAGUCGGGACCUAAGGCGAGGCCGAAAGGCGUAGUCGAUGGAAACAGGGUUAAUAAUCCCUGACUACUAGGUGGGAGCAUCAUUAGGGACGCAUGAGGGAUAGCCACACCCUGAAUGGAUUGGGAGUCCUCUACGGAGGGCGCGUGGUUAAGAGCAGUGCCAAGAAAAGCUGAUGAUGUGAUGAAAACCAAGUACCCGUACCCGAAACCGACACAGGUGGGCAAGUUGAGUAUACUAAGGGGCGCGAGAUAACUCUCUCUAAGGAACUCGGCAAAAUUACCCCGUAACUUUGGAAGAAGGGGUGCCAGCGAGAGCUGGUCGCAGUGAAGAGGCCCAGGCGACUGUUUACCAAAAACAUAGGUCUCUGCCAACUCGAAAGAGGACGUAUAGGGGCUGACGCCUGCCCAGUGCCGGAAGGUUAAGGAAGUUGGUCAGCUCGUAAGGGUGAAGCUAGCGACUGAAGCCCCGGUGAACGGCGCUUACAAGGGUAGGUUUUUUACAAAGGGAGGAGUAAAAGCUCAGAAAUAAGGUAAAAGUAUUAAGAGAAGUAAAUAGUAUAGUUAUCAUGAGAUGAAAUUAAAUCAACAUCUCAAAGAUUGGAAACAGAUUGUCAGUCAAAAAUUUCCAGACCUGAGUCUACCUCAAGUUUCUGGAUUAGCAACCUGGAGUUUUGGAAUGGUAAUGACACAAUCAAGCAGUCUGACUAAAGUUUCCACGUUAAUUGCCAAAAUCAAUCAGGAGAAAGACAAUACGGUACGCCAAAGAUUGAAAGAAUGGUACAAAGAAGAAACAGCCAAAGCCAAAACAGGGAAUAAAAGAGUAUCUCUGGAAGUAAAAGGCUGUUUUGCCUCAUUACUAAAAUGGAUUGUCGAUUUACUACCUCAAAGUAAUCAAGAGUUACCAAUGGCAUUAGAUGCCACCAGUAUCGGUCAAAAUUUUGUAGUUCUUUCAAUCAAUGUUUUAUAUCGAGGUAGUGCCAUUCCUAUAGCUUGGAAAGUGGUUAAAGGGACAGACAAAGGUAGUUGGAAACCGUACUGGAAAGAACUGUUUCAAUCUCUCAACAAUGUUGUGCCGACAGAUUGGAAGGUAAUCGUUAGUGCUGAUAGAGGAUUGUAUGCUCCUUGGCUAUACGAACAGAUUGUGAA
rfam:Stanieria cyanosphaera PCC 7437, complete genome.